rnacentral:rRNA from 1 species
CGGAACGAUGAUAGCUUGCUUCUCAGGCGUCGAGCGGCGGACGGGUGAGUAACGCGUGGGAAUCUACCUAGUAGUGGGGGAUAGCCCGGAGAAAUUCGGAUUAAUACCGCAUACGCCCUACGGGGGAAAGCAGGGGAUCUUCGGACCUUGCGCUAUUGGAUGAGCCCGCGUCGGAUUAGCUAGUUGGUAGGGUAAAGGCCUACCAAGGCGACGAUCCGUAGCUGGUCUGAGAGGAUGAUCAGCCACACUGGGACUGAGACACGGCCCAGACUCCUACGGGAGGCAGCAGUGGGGAAUAUUGCACAAUGGGCGCAAGCCUGAUGCAGCCAUGCCGCGUGUGUGAAGAAGGCCUUAGGGUUGUAAAGCACUUUCAGUUGGGAGGAAAGGUUGUAGGUUAAUACCCUGCAGCUGUGACGUUACCAACAGAAGAAGCACCGGCUAACUCCGUGCCAGCAGCCGCGGUAAUACGGAGGGUGCGAGCGUUAAUCGGAAUUACUGGGCGUAAAGCGUGCGUAGGCGGUUUGUUAAGUGGGAUGUGAAAGCCCCGGGCUCAACCUGGGAACUGCAUCCCGAACUGAUUGACUAGAGUGCGGUAGAGGGGAG